UACGAAGGGGGCUAGCGUUGUUCGGAUUUACUGGGCGUAAAGCGCACGUAGGCGGGUCGUUAAGUCAGGGGUGAAAGUCCCGGAGCUCAACUCCGGAACUGCCUUUGAUACUGGCGACCUUGAGGCUGGAAGAGGUUAGUGGAAUUCCCAGUGUAGAGGUGAAAUUCGUAGAUAUUGGGAAGAACACCAGUGGCGAAGGCGGCUAACUGGUCCAGAUCUGACGCUGAGGUGCGAAAGCGUGGGGAGCAAACAGG
rnacentral:rRNA from 1 species